rnacentral:rRNA from 1 species
AUGGAGCAGUUGGGAGCCUCCACAAUGCUGGUGCUAUUGCUCACCUUCAUCUACCUCGUCCUCCGGCUCAGGCGCAAGGACAGCAAGCCGCAUACGCUCCCGCUCCCGCCAGGCCCAGCGCCGUGGCCGGUGGUGGGCAGCCUCCCGGAGAUGAUGCUCAACAAGCCCGCGUUCCGGUGGAUCCACCGCACGAUGGAGGAGAUGGGCACCGACAUCGUCUGCGUCCGCCUUGGCGGCGUGCACGUCGUCGCCGUCACCUGCCCCACCAUCGCCCGCGAGGUGCUCAGGAAGCAGGACGCCACCUUCGCCUCCCGCCCGCUCACCUUCGCCUCCGCCGCCUUCAGCCGCGGGUACAAGAACGCCGUGCUGUCGCCGUUUGGGGACCAGUGGAGGAAGAUGCGCCGCGUGCUCACCUCCGAGAUCAUCUGCCCCUCCCGCCACCGAUGGCUCCACGACCGCCGCGCCGACGAGGCCGACAACCUCACCAACUACGUCUACAACCUCGCCACCGCCGCGAAGGGGUCAUCGUUGGGCAGUGGCGCCGUGGACGUGCGGCACGUCACGAGGCACUACUGCGGCAACGUCAUCCGCCGGCUCCUAUUCGGCAGGCGAUACUUCGGUGAGCCCGGACGCCGCGAUGGCGGGCCGGGGCCCAUGGAGGUGGAGCACAUGGACGCCUUGUUCACAUCUCUCGGGCUGCUCUACGCGUUCUGCGUCUCCGACUACCUUCCCUGGCUGCGGGGCUUCGACCUCGACGGCCAUGAGAAGAUUGUCAAGGAGGCCAACGCAACUAUGAGCCGGCUGCACGAAGCCGUCAUCGAGGAGCGGUGGGGGCAGUGGAAGUACGGCGAGAGAAAGGAGCUUGAUGACUUCCUCGAAGUGCUCAUCACGCUCAAAGACGCCGAGGGGAAGCCGCUGCUCACCAUCGAGGAGAUCAAAGCACAGUCUCAGGACAUAACCUUUGCCGCCGUUGACAACCCAUCGAACGCCGUGGAGUGGGCCCUGGCAGAGAUGGCGAACGCACCGGAGGUGAUGGCGAAGGCGAUGGAAGAGAUGGACCGUGUGCAUUUCGGCUGCACCCUGUUGCACCUUUCAACGCAUGUUGCGCUCGCCGACACCAACGUUGCCGGUUACCAUAUACCCAAGGGAAGCCAUGUCAUCCUCAGCCGCACUGGACUCGGCAAGAACCCGACCAUCUGGGAUGAGCCGCUAUGCUUCAUGCCAGAGCGCCACAUUAAUACGACCACUGAUGAUGUGGCACUCACAGAGAACGAGCUGAGGUGCGGCCGUCGUGGGUGCGUCGCGGCAUCACUUGGGACGGCAAUGUGCAUGAUGCUCUUCGGCAGGCUUCUGCAAGGGUUCACUUGGAGCAAGCCAAUAGGAUUGGCAGCUAUAGAUCUCAGCGAGUCAGAGCAUGACGUGUUCCUGGCCAAGCCAUUGAUGAUGUGUGCUAAGCCACGUUUGCCGGUGCACCUCUACCACGCCGGCGCCAUCUAA